rnacentral:rRNA from 1 species
AGCGAGUAAGGGUCCAUAGAGGAUGCCUUGGUGCUAUCCGACGAUGAAGGCCGUGGUAAGCUGCGAAAAGCUUGGGCGAGGAGCAAACAUCCUUUGAGUCCGAGAUUGCCGAAUGGGGUAACCCGGCAGCUAUAUUAGCUGUCAUCUCUUAGCUGAACACAUAGGCUUUGAGAAGUGAGACGCAGGGAACUGAACCAUCUAAGUACCUGCAGGAAAAGAAAUCAACCGAGAUUCCCUCAGUAGCGGCGAGCGAAGAGGGAUUAGCCCAAACCAGAGAUGCUUCGGCAUAUUUGGGGUUGUAGGGCUUCCGUUGGAGUUACAAAACGAUCAGCUAGCAGAACACUCUGGAAAGUGUGGCCAAAGUGGGUGAUAGCCCUGUAAGCGAAAGCAGAUCGACUCUUAGGAAGUACCUGAGUACAGCGAGGCACGUGAAACCUUGUUGGAAUCUGGGGGGACCACCCUCCAAGGCUAAAUACGAGAUAGCAACCGAUAGUGUACGAGUACCGUGAGGGAAGUGGUGAAAAGAACCCCGGAAGGGGAGUGAAAUAGAACCUGAAACUAUGGAUCUACAAGCGGUAGGAGCGGUGCACUAGUGUGCUGCGACUGCGUGCCUUUUGCAGAAUGAGCCUGCGAGUUACCCUGCGUAGCGAGGUUAAGGCACAGAAGUGCUGGAGCCGGAGGGAAACCGAGUCUGAAUAGGGCGUUGAGUUGCGUGGGGUAGACCCGAAACUGAGUGAUCUACUCAUGGCCAGAUUGAAGCUUGGGUAAUGCCAAGUGGAGGAUCGAACACUAGUCUGUUAAAAAAGGCAGUGAUGAGCUGUGAGUCGGAGUGAAAGGCUAAUCAAACUCAGAAAUAGCUGGUUCUCCCCGAAAUGGUUUUAGGAUCAGCCUCAUAUGUUUUUCAGCGGAGGUAGAGCACUGGUUAGGCUAGGGCGGGUCAAACUGUACCAAACUUAGUCAAACUCCGAAUGCCGCUGUUUUAUAGUAUGGGAGUGAGACUACGGGUGAUAAGAUUCGUGGUCAAAAGGGAAACAGCCCAGAGCGACAGCUAAGGUCCCUAAACUGUGUUAAGUGGAAAAGGAAGUGUGGUGGCCCAGACAGCCAGGAGGUUGGCUUAGAAGCAGCCAUUCCUUGAAAGAGUGCGUAAUAGCUCACUGGUCGAGUCGUCAUGCGCCGAUAAUGUAACGGGGCUAAACACAGUACCGAAGCUUCGCCUGUCGUAUUUAUACGGCGGGGUAGGGGAGUGUUGCGUAAGCCGUAGAAGCAAUGGUGAGAACCUAUGUGGAGGUAUCGCAAGUAAGCAUGCAGGCAUGAGUAACGAAAAAAUAGGUGAGAUACCUAUUCGCCGAAAGCCCGAGGUUUCCUGGGUAAAGUUUGUCUUCCCAGGGUUAGACGGCCCCUAAGGUCAGGCCGAAAGGCGUAGCCGAUGGGAAACUGGUUAAUAUUCCAGUUCUUCUGAUAAUUUCGAUGGAGUGACGCAUUAGGAAAGCUAUAUCGGGGCGUUGGUAGUCCCCGUCCGAAUCACGAGGUGUUGAUAGUUUUAGGCAAAUCCGGAACUUGAGCUGAGUGAGAGGCGAUUGAAGCUACGGCGGAGAGAAGUAUAGGGAUUCACGGUGCCAAGAAAGAGCUUCUAAGGCUAGGUUAUCAGGAACCGUACCGCAAACCGACACAGGUGGGCGAGACUAGUAAUCUAAGGCGUACGGGAGAACUCGCGUUAAGGAACUCGGCAAAUUGCAUACGUAACUUCGGAAAAAGUAUGGCCUAACACAUAAUGGUGAGGUUGCAGAGUCCAAGUGGAAGCGACUGUUUAUCAAAAACACAUGUCUCUGCUAACUCGUAAGAGGAUGUAUAGGGACUGACACCUGCCCGGUGCCGGUAGGUUAAGAGGAGCGGUUAGCGUAAGCGAAGCUGCGAAUUGAAGCCCCGGUAAACGGCGGCAAUAACUAUAAUUGUCCUAAGGUAGCGAAAUUCCUUGUCGGGUAAGUUCCGACCUGCACGAAUGGUGUAACGACUUCCACACUGUCUCAACGCGAGACCCGGUGAAAUUGUAGUAUCGGUGAAGAUACCGAUUACUCGUGGUUAGACGGAAAGACCCCAUGAACCUUUACUGUACCCUGAUAUUGAUAACAUGCUAUUCAUGUGUAGGAUAGGUGGGAGACUAUGAUACUAUGCCGCUAGGUGUAGUGGAGUUGUUGGUGAAAUACCACCCUUGAGUCUUGUGUUAUCUAACGGAUGCCCGCAAACGGGUAUUCGGACAGUGUUUGGUUGGCAGUUUGACUGGGGCGGUCACCUCCUAAAGAGUAACGGAGGUGCGCAAAGGUCACCUUAUCCUGGACGGAAAUCAGGAGUAAAGUGUAAAGGCAGAAGGUGGCUUGACUGCGAGACAGACAUGUCGAGCAGGUACGAAAGUAGGUCUUAGUGAUCUGGCGGUAGCGCGUGGAAGCGCCGUCACUUAACGGAUAAAAGGUACUCUGGGGAUAACAGGCUGAUCCUGCCCAAGCGUUCAUAGCGACGGCAGGGUUUGGCACCUCGAUGUCGGCUCAUCUCAUCCUGGGGCUGUAGCCGGUCCCAAGGGUAUGGCUGUUCGCCAUUUAAAGUGGUACGCGAGCUGGGUUUAGAACGUCGUGAGACAGUUCGGUCCCUAUCUGCCGUGGGCGCUGGAGAACUGAGGGGGGCUGCUCCUAGUACGAGAGGACCGGAGUGGACGAACCUCUGGUGUUCCGGUUGUCACGCCAGUGGCAUUGCCGGGUAGCUAUGUUCGGAAUAGAUAACCGCUGAAAGCAUCUAAGCGGGAAGCC